rnacentral:misc_RNA from 1 species
GAUGAAGAACGUAGCGAAAUGCGAUAAGUAGUGUGAAUUGCAGAAUUCAGUGAAUCAUCGAAUCUUUGAACGCACAUUGCGCCCCUUGGUAUUCCAUGGGGCAUGCCUGUUCGAGCGUCAUUUGUACCUUCAAGCUUUGCUUGGUGUUGGGUGUUUGUCUCGCCUUUGCGUGUAGACUCGCCUUAAAAUAAUUGGCAGCCGGCGUAUUGAUUUCGGAGCGCAGUACAUCUCGCGCUUUGCACUCACAACGACAGCGUCCAAAAGUACAUUUUACACUCUUGACCUCGGAUCAGGUAGGGAUACCCGCUGAACUCAAGCAUAUCAAUAAGCGGAGGA